ensembl:lncRNA
UAUGGAAUCACUUUAGAUAUUUUUCGGAUUUUUUUGGAAGAUUUUUACUCAUUUUUUGAAAAUAUUUACAAGAAUUUUCUUGCCAAAUUUGGGGGAUUUUUUUUUUUUUUAAAAUAAAACUUUUAAGGUAAGCUUUUAAGGAAUUAUUGGAAUUUUCUUCCUGAAGGUUUUGCAAAUUUUCAGAAAUUUGGGGAAUUUUUUUGCUGAAUUUUUGGAUUUUUUUCAGACAAGGAAACAAUAUUUUUUGCUGCCUGUAAAUGCAGACAACAGGAGGAUUAAAACAACGCAUCUUAAAAAUCUUGUUAACUCAAACAAUCUUGAAAUUAUCUUGUUUUGAGUUGAAUUUUACAAGGAAACUGAAAAUAAGUUUAAUACGUCUCAAAUUAGGAGGUUACAUGAAAGCAAAAAUCUAUUUUUGCGUGAAAAACUGCAAUUUUUUUAACAUGUCUGGCUUAUUUUAAGACACCUAAGCUUGGCUAUCCUGGUGAAAUAGAGCUUAAAAUAAGUUCUCCCAGCUAAUUUUAACAUCUCAAUAUUCUAAAUAUCAUAUUUCAACAAAUGUUACCAAGCCAUUUUUCACUUGUUCUAUUGGCAGAUUUUUUCACUCACUUCACGGUAAAAGUUCCUUGAAAUAAGUUUUUUUUUUUUCUUGUUUUGAGAGGGGCAUUUUUUCCAGCGUGACUCUCCUGAAGGUCACAUCCUCCGUUAUCUGACAUGAGGCGACACAAAACGGACGCUCGGCCUCGGCCUGUGGCGGUCAGACGUAGCACUCCGUAGGCUCCAGCGUGUAUCCUGUGCUCUGUAGUCAUUAUUUAUAUGCUGUUCUGUGACGCACAAAUGAUUAGGAGGGAGGGCGGUGAUGUCGGCGCUCCCUCUCCUCACUCUUGACUCUCUGUCGAGGGGGAAACUAAAAGUCUGAUCGGAAACAAGACACUUGAAAUGACGGACUCCUGCGGCGAUGCUUGCACUUCAGUAUGUGUUCUUGCCACGUGUGUUUCACUCUGUCUUCAAGCUUAAUAUCGUCUGUGUGUUAUCUGCCAAUGCCUUAGAGUGUAUUUCUUUGGAGAUAUUUUUAAGGAAUGGUUUGGCGCCUGUGAAAGCCAAGUUUCCCUACUAAUGCCUUUUUACAGCCGCCCAAACGAGUAAUGUUUCAUUCCAGUGUAAUUAUGACCUGUAGGAUCUCAACCAUUGACAUGUUAAAACAACUGCUAUAUAAAUAUAUAAGAAGAAGAAGUUAUGAAUUAAGCAUCUUGUAUGUGGUAUCUUCUUUUUUUUUUUUAAUUUUAGUCUCACAUGAAGCUUGACAGCUAAAAUGAAAACCACAAAGACGAUUUUAAAUCCUAUUAUCCGUCUUUAAAUGUAUAUAAUUAAAAGAA